AAGUCGUUGUAACGAUCCGAAUUUCGAUCUCGGAACUCGUUAGCCGGCUAAGACCCAAGCAAUACAUCAAGACUAAAAUGUUUGUUUAUAAAUACCUCAUUUUUCACAUUGUUUUCUCCACCUGCAUCAAAAAGAAAUCAGAAAAGUUAGAGAGAAGAAGAAGUGAAAAAGAGAGAGAGUGAGAGAAAAAAAAGAUAGGAACCACUGCAUGCUGCCACCAGGAGUCCUCGCCGGAGCCACCGCACGCCAGGACAUCGUCAAGCUCGUCAUCACCAUCAACCUCAGCUGAGAAUCGUCGGAAACCGCCGCCUCUUAAGCUUUGUUUUCGUCCGUUCAGUAUAUCGGCCAUAUCUUCUUAACCGUUGAGAAUCUCGCGCAUGCAGAGCCACCAUCGUGUUCCUCUCGUCGAGACGAAGCCGUAGCCACCGACCACGCCGCAAUCGGAGUCCGGACGAAGCCGCUAGAGCCUCCGGAAGUUUCGCCUCUGUGCGCGCGUGAGUUAUACGCGCCGCCGCCGGAAAUCGUCUCUGCCGCCAGACCACCGCCUCACCACCACCGGAACGCCGUCGCUGUCGCCGUGCUCCGCCUUCUGUCACCGCCGUCGUCCGCCGUCACCACCGAUUUGGAGUCUAUUUGAGCAUCUGGAGUUCAUAGAUACCACAUUUCCCUAUUGCUAAGAUGCCGCCAAGGAGAAGAACCACCCGUGCCCAGACCACCAGAGCUGUUAGAGACGAUGUAGAUGAGCAUGAGCAGCCCGCAGUUCCGCCACCCGCGGCUCCACCAGUUGAUCAGGAUGCAUUGAGACAGAUGGUUCAGGAUGCCGCUAGACAGGCCGCUCAGGAGGCACUUCAGCAGAUUGCCCAGGAGGCAGCCAGGCAGGCCGCUCAGGAGGCUGCCCGAGUAGCUGCUCAGGAGGUUGCUCGUCAGAUGGCUGCAGUUCAGGCUCCUCAGGUUCAGGUGCAGCAGGGUCCACAGAUUCAGGUUCAGCAAGUUCCACCGGUUCAGGUCCAGCAGGAUCAGCAGAUUCCCGCUCAGCAUGAUCAUCAGGAUCCCGUUCAGCAGGUUCCCCUUCCUCAGGUUCCACUGCAGCACGGACCAGCUCAGCAGUUUGCUCAUGGUGUUCAGGAUCUACCACCACCACCACCGCGACCUCAUGUUUACCCGGUUUAUGAUGAGAGGUUCUACAGGCUGACGCGUCAGAUGAGGAACAUGGAUAUGGAGCAUUUUAGUGGGACAGUGGAUGCUGUAGCUGCACAUGAUUGGAAGUUAGCCUUGCAGCGGAAGCUGGAGAUUAUUGAAUGUCCACCAGAGUUGUCGCUCAGAUUGACUAUGCAGUACCUUCGUGGAGAUGCUCUUAUAUGGUGGGAGGGAAUACGAUUGAGUCACCUUGGGCCAGAGAGGCUUACCUUCGCAGACUUCAUCCGAGAGUUCGAUAGGAAAUACUUUCCGAAGGAAGCUAUGGAUAGGAAGAAAUGCGAGUUCGAGCAUGUAAGCCAGGGUGAGAUGUCUAUCAGGGAGUAUGAGGUUGUGUUUAAUCAACUUCGCAGAUUUGCUGGAGAGGGCAUUUUAGAGGAAGACCUGAUGAGGAAAUUUUUGAAUGGGAUGCGAGUGGAGAUUCGCAACAGGUGCCGUGUCGUCACUUAUCACAGAUUGGGAGAUUUGGUGGAGAAGGCUGCCGAGCAGGAGGCAGGUUUGGCAGAGGAGCAGAAGUACUCCAAGGCAGUUCAGCCUAAGUUUGGAGGGACUUCAGAGGCACAGCAGAGGACAUGGGACAAACCGAGCAUACAGUGCUUUUACUGUGGAAAGAUGGGACAUAAGAGUAGGGUUUGUCGGAGUAGGCUAUUUGAUGCUCAGGUUGCGCCACCAGUCAGACAGAUUGCAGCACCAGCAGCACCAGCAGCGGCACAUGUCUGCUUUGGCUGUGGUCAUCCAGGUCACUUCAUCAGAGAUUGCCCGAGGAGGGGCAAUGCGGCACUUCCACCACCACCGAAGCGUCUAGCCAUCGCUCCACGUGCGUUUGCGGUUGGAGAUCCCCAUGGAGCUGAGCCGAUAGCGGGUAUGUGUUCUUAACAUACUUGCUUGUGUUAAUAUUUGUGGUUUUGUGGUUAUCUUGUAUAGUUCGAGAUUAGUGAAUCUCGUGUAUGAUUGGUUGUGGUUGGUGUGAGUUACCUCACACCUUAUUUGACUUAAGAGCUUUUUAUAGUUUUGUGAGUUCGCGUUUGGUUAAGUUUUAGUUUUUUUUUGGGGGAUCUUCUAACCGAAAUAUAAGCAGAUUCAGAUUGUUGUUAUGGAGAGCUUGGGAACGAUCAAGAUUCAUCGCGAUAUACCUGUUAUCAUUUGAGUAUUAUGAUGGUAUCGUCGAGGUUUUUAUGGUGGGUCUAGUCGUACACCACUUUGUUGGACCAAAGUGGGGGAGAGACGUGAGAUGGAAUCAGCAAUGAUUCAAGAGACGGUAGAGCAAAUGGAAAUGCUCGAAGCUUAGGUUAGGAAGCCCAUGACCGUCAGAAGAGUUACGUGGAUAAGCGCCGUAAGGAUUUGGAUUUUGAAGUUGGCGACCUAAUAAAUCUGAAGGAGGAUGUUUCAAGAAGAAUCAAAGACUCGGAAUCUAAAGAAGCUUAACCAAAAUAUAUGGGAACAUAUCUCUUUAUUGGUCAGCAAGUGAAAUCAGUCUAGGGAGUGGUGACCAUGUAUCUAGUGACCAUGUUGGUCAAGGUUCGUUGGGAGGAAUAGGAUUCAAGAGGAGACCUGAGCCGAGCAAGGAUUAUUAUUCGAGGUUUUGUUACGAUGACAUUGGACAUGUCAGAUUAUAACUUGAAUUCGGGGACGAAUUCCUUAUAAGUGGGGGAGAAUUGUAACGAUCCGAAUUUCGAUCUCGGAACUCGUUAGCCGGCUAAGACCCAAGCAAUACAUCAAGACUAAAAUGUUUGUUUAUAAAUACCUCAUUUUUCACAUUGUUUUCUCCACCUGCAUCAAAAAGAAAUCAGAAAAGUUAGAGAGAAGAAGAAGUGAAAAAGAGAGAGAGUGAGAGAAAAAAAAGAUAGGAACCACUGCAUGCUGCCACCAGGAGUCCUCGCCGGAGCCACCGCACGCCAGGACAUCGUCAAGCUCGUCAUCACCAUCAACCUCAGCUGAGAAUCGUCGGAAACCGCCGCCUCUUAAGCUUUGUUUUCGUCCGUUCAGUAUAUCGGCCAUAUCUUCUUAACCGUUGAGAAUCUCGCGCAUGCAGAGCCACCAUCGUGUUCCUCUCGUCGAGACGAAGCCGUAGCCACCGACCACGCCGCAAUCGGAGUCCGGACGAAGCCGCUAGAGCCUCCGGAAGUUUCGCCUCUGUGCGCGCGUGAGUUAUACGCGCCGCCGCCGGAAAUCGUCUCUGCCGCCAGACCACCGCCUCACCACCACCGGAACGCCGUCGCUGUCGCCGUGCUCCGCCUUCUGUCACCGCCGUCGUCCGCCGUCACCACCGAUUUGGAGUCUAUUUGAGCAUCUGGAGUUCAUAGAUACCACAUUUCCCUAUUGCUAAGGUGAGGGCUACUCCGUUAAAUCCCGAGCUAGUUUAGUACUACCAUUAUGGAAAGUUUAGUUUCGAAACAUGAUCCGUCUCUGUGAAUCGAGUCUGUUUGAGAGUCUUGCUUGUUCAUUAUUGAUAUUGAUUGUUAACCGGAAUUAGGAUAAUAGAGGAUUCAACGAUUGUGUGAAAUGAUUGAUGCUAAGAACUGCUAUAUAUAUGUAUAUACAUAGUUAUGAGUAGGGAUUAUGUGAUGAGGGCGUGAGUUCAGAGAUGUCUGAGCUUCGACGCUACGGUAUGGUAUGGGCGUGAGUUCAGAGACGUUUGAGCUUCGACGCUACUGUUUGGGGCGUGGUGCAGAGACGUUUGCAUUUGACGCUACGAUGGGCGGGGGUACAGAGACAGACUGUACUAGCGACGCUUCGAGUAUAUGUAUAUAUCCUUAUGAGGAGAUGCGUGGUGCAUAGAGUAGCUAUGUACUAUAAGCGCAUGAGUUGUAACGGCUAGUCCUCUAGCCGCAUAUUGAUUGUUCUGUGGGGUGUAAUAGGCACCGUGUUUGUUUCAUGCUAGAGCUAUGCCUACAUUUUAGUAGUGCUAUGAACUCAGUCUGUGGUUUGCGGUUUAGCAUCCCAUACCUCGCUGGGCAACUCCCCUGUUGCUCACCCCUCCUUCUUUUCCCCUUUCAGGUGAGACCGACGAGCAGGAGUGAUUAUCGGACCGGUGCUAUUGGGCUUUUGGGCUUCUAUCGCUUUUAUCGUUAUCGGGCUUUUAGGCCUUUGGCUUUUAUCGUUUAUGUUAUUUCCUAUUUCAGACUUAUACCGUUAUCUAUAUUUCGGAUGUUAUUUUAUAUUAUGGAUUUCCAGCGUGGACGUUGACUUUUAUAUUUAUAAAUAGAGAUUUCAGAAACUAUUA